rnacentral:lncRNA from 1 species
AUCAUGGCAAGGUUUGGAUUUGUUAAAGGCACAUCACAGCUUCUGCUCAAAACAAUCAGGAUAAACUAAAGCAACGUACAAAGAUGUGUAUGGAUAAGAUGUGUACGUGUAAGAUGUGUACGUAUAAGAUGUGUGAGAUAGGUCCAUCAUCAAAAACGGAGGCACAGUUGGCUCGGGAAACAGCUCAGUACGCAAGAGCAUCUGCUCUGCAAGCAGGAACACUCGAGUUCAAGUUCCCAGCACCCAUGUGAAGAACAGCGCAUAGAUAUACACACCGAACAUUGAAAGGCAGAGUCAGGUGGAUCCCAGGAGUUCACUGGCCAGCCAGCCAACCUAGUAAAAAUGCUAACUGCAAGAUUCCUGGAGUCCAGGGUGUCUUGCUGGGUUAAGACUGCUUCUCCAGAGCUGUAAAUAUUUGAAUCCUCGAUGGUAAUACCCUCAGAGAACAGAAGACUACUACUUCCUAGACACAUACUACCCAAUGUCAUUUAAGCAACACCUCCUGAUAUUUCAUGGUCUGUUCCCAGUUUCAGCCAUGGGCAAGUUACAUUAGUGCUGCUCAGAAAAUGACUUUUUCAACAGAGUUGGCUGUCCCCUUCCACAGUGUGGGGCACAGACACUGAAUUCAGGUCCUUGGCCUUGGUGGCAAGCUCCUUUAUCUACAAAGUCUGGCCUGGCAUAUUCAAUUUUUU